UCAGGCCAGCUUGGGAGCAGCAUGCUCAGUGUCCCUAGAGAAGUUGACACUUCCCAUCUGUCCCCAGUGAUGCCGGCU